AUGGACCAGUUCCACGACAGGCAUCACGUGCGGCUGCGGAGCUGCGUGCUCCGCACGUACCUCCACGCCGACCACGACGGGGAGCGCGUCUCCCUCAGCCGGUGCCGUGACUCGCUGAACACGGCGUGGGUGGUGCACAUCCACCAACUCGCCGACGGCCCGUACCUGCUCCUCCACAGCGCCGCCUACGGCCGCUACCUCGGCACCACGUUCAAGCCGGCGCCGCUCGGCCGCCACGGCUGCCGCACCGAGCAGCGCGACUACGACGACGAGCAGGACUUGAUGGCCGUCAUGUGGAAGGCCGCCAGGGCGGGCUUCCGUGACAUCGUCCUGCUCCGCAGCGUCGCCGGCCGCUACCUCCGCGCCAACGGCAGGUACCUCCCCUGGAACACCGGUGUGACCGUCGACAACAAGGUCAGCGCCCUGAUGUACUGGACCGUCGAGCCCAUCCCCGCCAGAGAGGGUCCGCCUGGCCUCCAAGGCCCGAUUCACACCCCCAGCCCCGGAUACCACUCCCUCAUGCUCUGGCGCAAUCCGGUGGUGUCACGGCUGAUCCGGUUCAUGCUGUCCGAUCCCAACGGCCCCAUCUACACCCAGCACUGCUGGACCACGUUCCGGUUUAGGGGGAGGUCCGUGUUCCACCUGAGGGACGAGGUGGCCAGGCGCAUCGCCUUCGUCCUGGACGGGCGUCAGUCCUUCGACCUCGUAAUGUGCGUCCGAGCGGGCCGCCAGGGGCGUCUGACCCCACUCGUCGUCGACCUGCCCAGCAGCGGCUACGGUGAGACCCUCUGGAUUGUCGUCUUCAUGUCCUGGACCCCAGGUGACAGCCACUCUCCGUGUCCUAACUUCCUAAUGAUCUCCUUCGUAAUGGUGGCAACAAGUGAACCUGUAAUCUUGACUCAAUUUACUAUGCGCGAUGUACAGAUUUUGGUUUAA
rnacentral:rRNA from 1 species